UUGGGGUGGCCGAUGGCGGAUUAGCUAGUUGGUGGGGUAAAGGCUCACCAAGGCGACGAUCCGUAGCUGGUCUGAGAGGACGACCAGCCACACUGGGACUGAGACACGGCCCAGACUCCUACGGGAGGCAGCAGUGGGGAAUUUUGGACAAUGGGCGCAAGCCUGAU
rnacentral:rRNA from 1 species